UGAAUGCCGUGUGCUGGAGCCAGGACCGGAGGUGGCUGCUCUCUGCGGCCCGGGAUGGGACCCUGCGGGUGUGGUCGGCUCGUGGGGCAGAGCUCGCACUGCUUCUGAUAUAAACAGAAGAGCAAGUCCAAGCUGAUUUGCAGGCUCUCCACGACAGGUGCAGUAGACAUGACCAGUUUAUCGGCAGUCAACGACUUUUAU
rnacentral:lncRNA from 1 species